rnacentral:snRNA from 1 species
GGAUGUGAGGGCGAUCUGGCUGAGAUGUCUGUCACCCCACUGACUGCCAGGGUUCAUUCGUCUGAUCUGACUGGCUAGGCGGGUGUCCACUUCCUCCCUCAAUGCUUCAUGUUCAUCGCUCUAGAAGCUGCGUGCUCAGAAAAAGAGGACAACCACUCCUGAUCGAGGACCAUUCCUUGGGCAAGAGUGUAUAAGUAGCUGCGCUCUCCUGCUAGCAGCUCCAAACAAAAAAACUUGAAAUUAAAGUAGUUCAGCUCCUUCAUACUGUCCCUAAUCCUUCACACUUCAAUGCAGAAUGUGGCAGCAGAA